GUUAGGAAUUUUGGGCAAUGGCCGGAAGGCUGACCCAGCAACGCCGCGUGGGGGACGAAGGCCUUCGGGUUGUAAACCCCUUUUCUCGGGGACGAUGAUGCCGGUACCCGAGGAAGAAGCCCCGGCUAACUACGUGCCAGCAGCCGCGGUAAUACGUAGGGGGCGAGCGUUGUCCGGAUUUAUUGGGCGUAAAGGGCGCGUAGGCGGUGCGGUAAGUCGGCCGUGAAAUCUCCAGGCUCAACCUGGAGGGGUCGGGCGAGACUGCCGGGCUAGAGGCGGGCAGAGGCCGGUGGAAUUCCGGGUGUAGUGGUGGAAUGCGUAGAGAUCCGGAGGAACACCAGUGGCGAAGGCGGCCGGCUGGGCCUGACCUGACGCUGAGGCGCGAAAGCGUGGGGAGCGAUCCGGAUUAGAUACCCGAGUAGUCC
rnacentral:rRNA from 1 species